AUUGAACGCUGGCGGCAGGCCUAACACAUGCAAGUCGAGCGAGCGGCGGACGUGUGAGUAAUGUAUGGGGAUCUGCCCUAUAGUGGGGGAUAACUACUGGAAACGGUGUCUAAUACCGUAUACUCUCGUAUGCACCCAUAUGGGAUUCUCUAGUAGGUGGGGUAAAGGCUCCCCAACCGACGACCUCUAGCUGGGCUGAGAGGAUGACCAGCCACACUGGAACGGAGACACGGCCCAGACUCCGACGGGAGGCAGCAGGGGGGAAUAUUGCGCAAUGGGGGCAACCCUGACGCAGCCAUGCCGCGUGAAUGAAGAAGGCCUUCGGGUUGUAAAGUUCUUUCGGUAGCGAGGCGUUAACUACAGAAGAAGCACCGGCUAACUCCGUGCCAGCAGCCGCGGUAAUAC
rnacentral:rRNA from 1 species